UACAGAGGUCUCAAGCGUUGUUCGGAUUCAUUGGGCGUAAAGGGUGCGUAGGCGGCGCGGUAAGUCGGGUGUGAAAUCUCGGAGCUUAACUCCGAAACUGCAUUCGAUACUGCCGUGCUUGAGGACUGGAGAGGAGACUGGAAUUUACGGUGUAGCGGUGAAAUGCGUAGAUAUCGUAAGGAAGACCAGUGGCGAAGGCGGGUCUCUGGACAGUUCCUGACGCUGAGGGACGAAGGUCAGGGGAGCAAACGGG
rnacentral:rRNA from 1 species